GUACUUACUUGGCAGGGGCAGUACCAUGAUCACGAAGGUGGUUUCCCCAGGGCGAGACUCACCCAUUGCACUCCAGGUGUGCUGACCCCUGCAUUUUUCCCAAAUGUGGGAAACUCGACUGUGUAAUUUGUGAUAGUGGGGGACUGCGUGCAUGCUCUUCCCUG